GGUCAAGCGAAUAAGCGCACACGGUGGAUGCCUUGGCGGUCAGAGGCGAUGAAGGACGUGGCAGCCUGCGAAAAGUAUCGGGGAGCUGGCAACAAGCUUUGAUCCGGUAAUGUCCGAAUGGGGAAACCCACCCGCUUGCGGGUAUCCUGCAGUGAAUACAUAGCUGCUGGAAGCGAACCUGGUGAACUGAAAUAUCUAAGUAACCAGAGGAAAAGAAAUCAACCGAGAUUCCGUAAGUAGCGACGAGCGAACGCGGACUAGCCCUUAAGCUGGAUUGGUUCUAGGAAAACGCUCUGGAAAGAGCGGCCAUAGAAGGUGAUAGCCCUGUAUCUGAAAGGGCCAUUCCAGUGAAGACGAGUAGGGCGGGGCACGUGAAACCCUGUCUGAACAUGGGGGGACCAUCCUCCAAGGCUAAAUACUACUGACCGACCGAUAGUGAACCAGUACCGUGAGGGAAAGGCGAAAAGAACCCCGGAGAGGGGAGUGAAAUAGAACCUGAAACCGUGUGCGUACAAGCAGUAGGAGCUCCGCAAGGAGUGACUGCGUACCUUUUGUAUAAUGGGUCAGCGACUUACUGUUCGUGGCAAGCUUAACCGUAUAGGGGAGGCGAAGGGAAACCGAGUCUGAUAAGGGCGCAUAGUCGCGGGCAGUAGACCCGAAACCGGGUGAUCUAGUCAUGCCCAGGGUGAAGGUGCGGUAACACGCACUGGAGGCCCGAACCCACUCCCGUUGCAAAGGUAGGGGAUGAGGUGUGAUUAGGAGUGAAAAGCUAAUCGAACCCGGAGAUAGCUGGUUCUCCUCGAAAGCUAUUUAGGUAGCGCCUCAUAUGUAUCCUCUCGGGGGUAGAGCACUGUUAUGGCUAGGGGGUCAUCGCGACUUACCAAACCAUUGCAAACUCCGAAUACCGAGACGGACUGUAUGGGAGACACACGGCGGGUGCUAACGUCCGUCGUGAAAAGGGAAACAACCCAGACCCACAGCUAAGGUCCCAAAUUCACUGCUAAGUGGAAAACCAUGUGGAAAGGCACAGACAGCCAGGAGGUUGGCUUAGAAGCAGCCACCCUUUAAAGAAAGCGUAAUAGCUCACUGGUCGAGUCGGUCUGCGGGGAAGAUUUAACGGGGCUAAGCAGUGAACCGAAGCUUGGGGUGCAUAACUUUGUUAUGCGCGGUAGAGGAGCGUUCCGUAAGCCGUUGAAGGUGGAUUGAGAAGUCUGCUGGAGGUAUCGGAAGUGCGAAUGCUGACAUGAGUAACGAUAAUGCGGGUGAAAAACCCGCACGCCGAAAGCCCAAGGUUUCCUUGCGCAACGUUAAUCGGCGCAGGGUGAGUCGGCCCCUAAGGCGAGGACGAAAGUCGUAGUCGAUGGGAAGCAGGUUAAUAUUCCUGCACCUCGCGUAAGUGCGAUGGAGGGACGGAGAAGGUUAGGUGUACCAGGCGUUGGUUGUCCUGGGGAAAGGCGGUAGGUUUGGAUCUUUGGCAAAUCCGGGAUCCUCUAAGACCGAGCACCGAGACGAGCCUUUAUGGCGAAGUCACUGAUACCACGCUUCCAGGAAAAGCUCCUAAGCUUCAGCUUACGCAGACCGUACCGUAAACCGACACAGGUGGGUAGGAUGAGAAUUCUCAGGCGCUUGAGAGAACUCGGGUGAAGGAACUAGGCAACAUGGCACCGUAACUUCGGGAGAAGGUGCACCCUUUUUGGUGGCUCGUGCGAGCUAUAGCUGAAGAGGGUCGCAGUAACCAGGCCGCUGCGACUGUUUAUCAAAAACACAGCACUCUGCAAACACGAAAGUGGACGUAUAGGGUGUGACGCCUGCCCGGUGCUGGAAGGUUAAUUGAUGGGGUCAGCCGCAAGGCGAAGCUCUUGAUCGAAGCCCCAGUAAACGGCGGCCGUAACUAUAACGGUCCUAAGGUAGCGAAAUUCCUUGUCGGGUAAGUUCCGACCUGCACGAAUGGCGUAACGACAGCGGCGCUGUCUCCACCCGAGACUCAGUGAAAUUGAAAUCGCUGUGAAGAUGCAGCGUUCCCGUGGCAAGACGGAAAGACCCCGUGAACCUUUACUAUAGCUUUACACUGAACGUUGAGUUCGUCUGUGUAGGAUAGGUGGGAGGCUAUGAAACCAUGGCGCUAGCUGUGGUGGAGCCAUCCUUGAAAUACCACCCUGUCGUGCUUGACGUUCUAACCUGGGCCCAUUAUCUGGGUCGGGGACCGUGUAUGGUGGGUAGUUUGACUGGGGCGGUCUCCUCCUAAAGAGUAACGGAGGAGCUCGAAGGUACGCUCAGCGCGGUCGGACAUCGCGCACUGUGUGCAAAGGCAUAAGCGUGCUUGACUGCAAGAUCGACGGAUCAAGCAGGUAGGAAACUAGGACUUAGUGAUCCGGUGGUUCUGUAUGGAAGGGCCAUCGCUCAACGGAUAAAAGGUACUCCGGGGAUAACAGGCUGAUACCGCCCAAGAGUUCAUAUCGACGGCGGUGUUUGGCACCUCGAUGUCGGCUCAUCACAUCCUGGGGCUGUAGUCGGUCCCAAGGGUAUGGCUGUUCGCCAUUUAAAGUGGUACGCGAGCUGGGUUCAGAACGUCGUGAGACAGUUCGGUCCCUAUCUGCCAUGGGCGUUGGAGAUUUGAGAGGGGCUGCUCCUAGUACGAGAGGACCGGAGUGGACGAACCUCUGGUGUUCCGGUUGUCACGCCAGUGGCAUUGCCGGGUAGCUAUGUUCGGAAGCGAUAACCGCUGAAAGCAUCUAAGCGGGAAGCGCGCCUCAAGAUGAGAUCUCCCGGGGCACAAGCCCCCUGAAGGAACCAUGUAGACUACGUGGUUGAUAGGUCAGGUGUGUAAGUACAGCAAUGUAUUGAGCUAACUGAUACUAAUGAUCCGUGCGGCUUGACCAU
rnacentral:rRNA from 1 species